UGUAUCUCCAAUGCUGCCCUGCAAAUAAACUCAUCAGGACCAUCUUUCUAGAUUCCAUAUAUAGGAGACAGGAGAUGAGGCUUCCAUCCUUGGGUCAGGAAGAUCAGCUGGAGAAGGAAAUGAUUGAUCAUGGUGAAUUUCUUUGACCACUGCAACAUGGUUAGAAAGAAUAUUGUGUCACCUCCACGUUAAGGCCUCAGGAGGCUUUGCAAGUUCUUCCUUGACCUUCUUGGAACCUAGCUGCAACUAGGUACCCCAGCCAAUGGCACCAUGCAACAUCCAUACUUGUUAAGGAGAUGGCAUAUGAUCAGCCAUCACCAGUGAAACUGCCAACGGUAGGCGUGAGACUUACUGACUCCUUGGAAAGCAGUGAAGAGACAUCUUAGUUGAGAAUUGACCAACUC
ensembl:lncRNA